CGGACGGGUGAGUAACGCGUGGGUAACCUGCCUCAUACAGGGGGAUAACAGUUAGAAAUGGCUGCUAAUACCGCAUAAGACCACGGUACUGCAUGGUACAGUGGUAAAAACUCCGGUGGUAUGAGAUGGACCCGCGUCUGAUUAGGUAGUUGGCGAGGUAACGGCCCACCAAGCCGACGAUCAGUAGCCGACCUGAGAGGGUGACCGGCCACAUUGGGACUGAGACACGGCCCAG
rnacentral:rRNA from 1 species